CUUCAUUUGGAUACACCAAAAUUAUGCCAGGCCAAAUAAAUUAUUACUCUAAAAUGAUAAACAUAGACAGGAUAUACACUUUCUACUUGUUUUGGGUACAUACAGGAAUGCCCAUCCACAUACAAAUGCAUAAUUAAGUAAAUAUGUAUCUAUACACAUUUGCGUGUGUCUCUGUGUGUGUGUAUAAGCAAAGCUUAUGUUGAAGAGCUUAGUAUGCAUUGACUACAUCUUUAUUUACUUCCCCUUCCCAAUGUUUCAAGUUUUCAGACAGAAAUGGUGGCUACAUCCUUAAAGACUCAACAAUCUUUCACCUAUUGCGGUGAGAACUUUCCCAAUGCCAUUCUGUGCUUACAACACGUAAACUUGUUAUCUGACUAACCCCUUCUAGUACAUAUAUACCCUGGUUUGAAAAAAAAUAAGAUGAGCACAAUAAAUGUUUAAAAAAGAAAUAAUAAAAAAUAGUUCAAGUCUAGCUUAAGAAAAGAAAUAUACCACAGUGUAUGACUGGCAGAUCAAAGGCAUGAAAAGAACAGAGAAUAGCCACAGGCAAUGCUUUGAUUACAUAAUCGUUUCUUCUGGACUGUUUAACUUCCCUGUAGAGAAUAAACCAAGUUCCUAUGAGACCCAUUUUCAUAAGAGACUUGAGCACCAGAGUCAAUUUUGCCUAGCAUUAGAAGAUGCGAGGUAUUAAUGUAGCUACACUAAUAGAUAUUUACAGCCAUGCAUUAAAAAUACAUGUGUGCACCCAUAAUGAUCUGGCACCCAGCUAGGAGCUAAGUAACAUACAAGAGCAAAAAAAAAAAAAAAAAAAAAAGAAAGUCAAAAUGAGUUUCAGAAACUAAGAAAAAAAAGACAUUGUGAAAGGAUAAAGUCCCUGAAAACAUUUGAGAACCAGAGAGGCCAGCGUGAUUAGAGGCUGCUCAGUUGAGUUCAACUGGCAUGACGACUUCAGCAUGGAUAUGUUUAAAUGACAUCAAGCCUUUCUUUUUGUGAGAAGGAAGAAGUUGUCAGCUAUAAACAGAAUGAGCAUCAUAUGAAGACCAUAAGAAAAGCAUUGCACCACAUUUUCUAUCAAAUGCAAAAACUAAUUGGAAGUGGCCGGGCGCAGUGGCUCACGCUUGCAAUUCCAGCACUUUGGGAGGCCGAGGCAGACAGAUCACCUAAGAUCAGGAGUUCGAGACUAGCCUGGCCAACAUGGUGAAACCCCCGUCUCUACUAGAAAUACAAAAAUUUUCCUGGUAUGGUGGCAGGUGCCUGUAAUUCCAGCUACUAGGGAGGCUGAGUCAGGAGAAUCGCUUGAAUCCAGGAGGCAGAGGUUGCAGUGAGCCGAGAUAACACCAUUGCACUCCAACCUGGGCAACAAGAGAAAAGCUCCAUCUCAAAAAACAACAACAAAACUAAUUGGAAACAGUUUCAGCCUUCAGUGUUUGUAUAAUUAUGUAGAAGAUAUAAAACAGGUCACAGAAAAAUAACAUAGAAUCUGAUCAGUGAAUGAGAGAUUACAAAUAUUUUAUGACAUUCUGUCUUGUGUAAGGCAACCAGAAAUAUUUUACAGCAUGAAAAGACAUUCAAAUUAAGCUUUGAAUUGAGUCUAGGAUUUCAAGCAUUAGACACGAGGAAGGGGCAAAUAACAAAAAAAUGGAAAUCAGAGUAUUACCAAUAUUUCUGCAAAGGUAGCUUAGAGUCAGGAGAGGCCUUGCAUUUCAGACCAACACUUGGCCUGUGUUCAACAAGCAAGUAAGAGCUAGUGACGUUGAGACUGGGUGUGGUGGCUCCCGCCUGUAAUCCCAGCACCUUGGGCUUUGGGAGGUGGAGACAGGCAGAUCACUUGACGUCAGGAGUUUGAGACCAGCCGUGCCAACAUGAUGAAUCCCCAUCUCUACUAAAAAUAUAAAAAUUAGUCGAGUGUGGUGGCACACGUUUGUAAUUCCAGCUACUCCGGAGGCUGAGGCAGGAAAAUCUCUUGAACUUGGGAAAUGGGGGGUGCAGUGAGUCGAGAUCACGCCACUGCACUUCAGCCUGAGCAACAGAGCAAGACUAGGUCUCAAAUAAUAAUAAUAAUAAUAAUAAAUAGGAGGUAGCGACUGAUGAGUGAAACUCGUUUCUAUGAUCAGAACUCAAGUAUAUUAAACAUAUGACAUCCAUAGUCUUAAGAACCCAUGACUUGUGGACAAAAGAUUGUAUAAAAUCAUUCAAGUGAAAUGUGGUAAAGAUUUGUAAUAAAACAGUGGAAGAGGAUAUGUAGAAGAUGAAACAAAUGUAAUAAAGAAGAGGGAAGAGUUCGUAGUAUUCGAUCACUUACUGAAUGUGGGCAAAAUAAAGGGAUUGGAAUAUAAAGAAGGGAUAAAGGUGACUGAAAUUUGAGUCCAUUGCCUGGGCACUAAGAUGGUAAAAUAAAUUGUGUUCAGAAUACACCGUGAUGGAUUUUAUUGCUAGGAAAUAUUUGUUGUUACUCAUGGCUGUAUCUCUAGUAUAUACUAAAAUAUACCUAUAAAUACAUAAUGUAUAAAGCAAUAUCUAGUUACAAAAUAGUAUAGCAUUGA
rnacentral:lncRNA from 1 species